CGCACAUUGCGCCCUUUGGCAUUCCGAGGGGCAUGCCCGUUCGAGCGUCAUUAAAUCCAAUCAAGCCUGGCUUGGUAUUGGGUAUCGGGGGUCCCCCGUGCCUCAAUUUCACCGGCUGGCCGUCGCCCGUCUUAGCGUUGUGACACACCUCUCGCUACCGAUGGGAUCGGAACACGCCGUUAGAACUCCACGAAUUUCGAUCGAAAUUUGAUUAGGUUGACCUCGGAUCGGGUAGGAAUACCCGCUGAACUUAA
rnacentral:misc_RNA from 1 species